GUCAGGAUGGCGGAGCGGUCUAAGGCGCUGCGUUCAGGUCGCAGUCUCCAAUGGAGGUGUGGGUUCAAAUCCCACUUCUGACA
rnacentral:tRNA from 1 species